GGAGAGAUGGCUGAGUGGUUGAAAGCACUGGUCUUGAAAACCAGCGAGGGGGGAACUCCUCCGGGGGUUCGAAUCCCUCUCUCUCCGCCA
rnacentral:tRNA from 2 species